AAACAAUGUAAUGGCUUGGCUCAGAAAAUAAUUUUAUGACGUCUUUUAAUUCAAGUUUCUUAGUUUUUACAGUUCAAGUACUUUUCAGACUACUCUGGUUCUCUUCCAAAUUUAUAUGUGAGAUUCUUGAUAGGAGAGAAUUGUAAAUACAAUAAGGAACAUCAGCCUUAGCAUAUUUGUUAAUGUUUAUUUGGCCCUCUGGGAAAUAGGCCAGUAAAUUUUUAUUGUUUACUUUGAGGGGUUAUUUUAGUGAAAGUGACCCAAAUCAAAUCAAAACAUUUAAAUACCUACCCCUUGGGUUAUGGAUGAAGUGCAUAUGGAAACCACCCAAGCUUUAGGUGCUGCUAUUAGUGACAGAAAUAGUAACUGCUAACACAUUGUUUAUUCUUUGCCAGAAACUUUUAUAUUUGAAAAUACAUUCAAGGAGUUUCCUAGUGGCCUAGCAGUUAAGGACCCAGUGUUGUCACUGCUGUGGCACACGUUAGACCCCUGUGGCCAAAAAUAAAAUCCAUUCAAUUCUUGUAACCACUUUAUGAGGGAGAUGUAUCAUUAUUCCCAUACUAUAAGGUAAGGAAACGGAGUCACAGGGUUAAAAUAGCAUACCUAAUGCCGCAUAACUAGUAAGGGGAGGAGUCAGGACUCAAGCUCUGGUAAUUUGAUUGCAGAACUCACACUCAGUAAUUACAUCUACAACCUCUGUCCUAUAGUUAACAAGAGGUAGAGGAGACAAAAUUAAAUAUUAAGCCCUAAAAUGUUCAAAAUGAUAGUGAUACCUUCCAAAGAAAGUCUUAAAGUUAGGUUUGUAUGUGAAAGUACCAUACUAAGCACAAAUUAGUUUCUCACAUAUUCCAUGAUGGUACUACUGUCCCAUUGUAAGGAGGCAUGCUCUGACAAGUGUUUCGGUAACACAGGAUGUGGGAUGUUUAUGUGUUCUUGUCCCUCAGUGUGUAUGUGUGGUCCAUGGAUAUACUUGUAGCUAUAUGAAUUCAGUCGGCCUUUAAUAGUGUCCUCCCCUGAGAAAACUGUCCAGAAUAAAGCCACACAAUCUAUAGGUCACACUUGGUUGUACUGUUUUUGAGGUAUCAGCAUCAAACAGCAUUGUCAUCUCACUUUACAUGUCUCUGGAAGCUAAUCAAAAUCUAAAGGAAAAUUGACCUUUUGUAACUAAAAGACCACAAACAAACUAUACAUUUAAAUUGUAAACUUAGUUUGCAAAUUACCUAUCCCUAAGCUAUCAGAUAUACCAUUUUCUUAGUAUUUCAUGUCAAUUUAAAGAAUUGGACUUCUGGCAAAGCUUAAUAAUCAUUAACUUCUUUCUGUCUUACAGAGCAAUUCCAGGCAGUAUAUAGCAAGCUCUUACACAGCCUUCAGACAUACUCUUGGGUAUUACCUCAGAGAGGCAACCUCGUCCCCCCGCCAUUUCACAUACACAGAAAAUUGAUAGCUCCCGUUUCUGUUUUAUCAACCCUGUAGUCGUUUCAUUAUUGCUUAUGUGGCCUCAUAAUUGUGAUUAUUUUCUUCCUUAUUUCUCUAAGAUUAGCCUGUAAGCCUAAAAGGCUUGAGCCCAGGCAGUUAUCUUAACUUAUUUGGUGACUAAUGUAGUAAAUAGAGCCAGUGACUUCACAUAGCACUCAGUAUUAUGUUAGUUCCCUUCCUUACUAUGGAAUACAUUGAUACCAAUAUUAGUAUGACUACUCAAAACAACUUACUUUUUAGAUAGCCAGAGUUAGACCUUACUUUUCAGUGGAAUUCUCCUAGUCUCAAUUAAGUCAAAUCUAUUUCCAGAUUACCAAUAUCACAUUUUCAUUGAAGGAUCAGAUGGAAAGAGAAAUGAAAAACAUGAAAUAGUUCUUGCCAGGUAAUGGCACGUUUUAUAUGUGAAUUAAGUCUUUGUAAAGGCUUUUUAUCUCAACUAAAAUGGUGUAUUAGUUAAGGAAUAAACAAUUUCAGAGAGUACAUUUUAUCUCCAAGGUAACACGGACAAUAGAAACUUGACGAUGUAACUGAUAUUAAGUCUUAGAAAACUGUCUCUAGCAGAUUGAAAUGGUUUCCCAGAUGUUCUUUCUGAGGUGUUAGAAGAAAGCACUAUGGAAGUCAGUAAAUCCAGUUAGCUUUGCUACAAUCUCAAGAUUCAGGGUUUUUUAAAGUAUAAAGUGCUUUUAAAAGCAUUAAAAUUAUUUAAUGGCUGUUUUUCCCUCUUAACCAUUCAUCUGACUGACCCGACAGUUGACUGCUUGAAACAGCUUUAAAAUCCAAGCUAACCUUGCUUAGGCUGAUGAAUUCAUAUUAGGUUGUAUGUAACAAUCCAACCAGAUUGCCUUUGUUUUUACUUCAUCAAGAAAGAAUUUCACUUGCAUCUUUCACACUGUGAACAUUAGGGCAUGACCUUUUUUUAUAGCACUGCAUUUGUGUUCUUUUCUUGCCAAUCUCCCAGACUCUGAAGUUUACCUGUCUGCCUGAACUCAUAGUACGCAGCCUCUGAAUCCUACCUGCCUAAAUCCAAGACAUUCAGAUGUGUUGUCCUGCAUUGGGAAAUCAUCUGGCUUCUGAAUUCCAGCUUGAAGUUCCCAAAUUAACUCAGUACUCUGCUGGCUUUCUGAUCAAUUUCACCUGGUGGCCUCUUAAUGCUCUUCAUAGUUAAUGCCUCCCAAACUAGGCAUGACCUACCUGUUAAUAAAACAGUUGGGAGUUCUAUAAUUUAAAAAUGUGUUCCUUGGUCAUAUACCUGAUAUUUGCUACUCAAAGAUUUUUAUUUUCAAAAUGUUUUCUAAAAUUAACUGCUACUGCCCGUAAUACUGAUCACCCUCUUUUUUAAACAAGGAAAAAGCCUGAAAUAUAUCAUUGCAUUAGUGUAGGAUUUUGACAUCAGGAUUCUAAAUACAACACAUAGCACAGUAUCAACACUUAGCUUUAAAUAGGUAACUGCUUGAUAGAAUUUAUCCAGAGACCUGCAAAAGAAAGCAUGAGAAUGAUGAAAUCGUCUUAUGACCUCAUCUUCAAUCUAGGGCUGCCCACAUAAUUACUCAUGAUGGAGAGGUCUAAAGUUAUUAGAAAUUACUUUUUUUUUUUUUUUUUGGCUAAGCUUACUUUUCAUCUUGUUUCACUUCCUGUCUUAGUACGACAAUUUUUAAAUGAAAUUGUGCUGUUUAAAUUUUCAUAAUUUUUAUUUAUUCAUGUAUGGGUUGUGUAAAUUUAUAAUUUGUGACAUUUAAUGUAGUUCAAGUAACACAAUUUUAGUAAGGACAUUAAAAUUAAAUUGAAUACUUUCCUGACACAUAGUAGAUAUCCAAUAAACAUUUAAGUUGAUACUGAAUUAACAAAUCUGAUUUACUUAACAUGGUAGUAAGUCAGAAUUUUUAGAAUUCUUUUAUCAGAAGUCUUAAGUUUACAACCUUUUCUGUGUUUUCAAAAGUUCCCGUUGUGGUGCAGUGGAAACAAAUCUGACUAGUAACCAUGAGGUUUGGGGUUUGAUCCCCGGCCUCUCAAUGGAUUAAGGAUCCAGUGUGGCCGUGAGCUGUGGUGUAAUUUGAAGACAUGGCUUGGAUCCCCCAUUGCUGUGGCUGUGGCAUAGGCCUGAGGCUGCAGCUCCAAUUAGACCCCUAAGCCUGGGAACUUCCAUAUGCCACGGGUGCAGCCCUAAAAAGACCAAAAAAAAAAGCAUAUAAGAAUUAAGAAUAGGAGCUCCCGUCAUGGCACAGUGGUUAACGAAUCCGACUAGGAACCAUGAGGUUGUGGGUUCGGUCCCUGCCCUUGCUCAGUGGGUUGACGAUCCGGCGUUGCCGUGAGCUGUGGUGUAGACGCGGGGCGGAUCCCGCGUUGCUGUGGCUCUGGCGUAGGCCAGUGGCUACAGCUCCGAUUUGACCCCUAGCCUGGGAACCUCCAUAUGCUGCGGGAGCGGCCCA
rnacentral:lncRNA from 1 species